AGCAGCCGCGGUAAUUCCAGCUCCAAUAGCGUAUAUUAAAGUUGUUGCAGUUAAAAAGCUCGUAGUUGAAUUUCGAGAUCAAAUUGUUGGUCGUGCCUUGGUACGCACUGGCAUUAUUGGUUUCUCCCUUCUGACGAAUCAUGAUGUCAUUAAUUUGGUGUCUUGGGGAAUCAGGACUGUUACUUUGAAAAAAUUAGAGUGUUUAAAGCAGGCUCACGCUUGAAUACAUUAGCAUGGAAUAAUGAAAUAGGACGUUUGAUUCUAUUUUGUUGGUUUCUAGGAUCGACGUAAUGAUUAAUAGGGAUAGUUGGGGGCAUUAGUAUUCAAUUGUCAGAGGUGAAAUUCUUGGAUUUAUUGAAGACUAACUACUGCGAAAGCAUUUGCCAAGGAUGUUUUCAUUAAUCAAGAACGAAAGUUAGGGGAUCGAAGACGAUCAGAUACCGUCGUAGUCUUAACCAUAAACUAUGCCGACUAGGGAUCGGAUGAUGUUAAUUUUUUAAUGACUCAUUCGGCGCCUUAC
rnacentral:sRNA from 1 species